UAUGCAUCCCUCCUCUCACCCUAGACCACACAUUCAGAACCAAGGUUGGAGAAUGUGUGAUUCUAUCACAAUAAAGAGAGAAAGUAGAAAGGUGCUUAAAGACAAGAAGAAAGAGAAUCAAUAUUAUCUUUCUGUAACCGAAACACAAAGUAGCCCAGAGAAAAGGCACCAGUUCCUGAAGGCUCCAUAAACCCUCUAGAGCUUAAAGAGGAACACAAAAGCACAAAAGCCAUCACCCAAGAAGACCCUGAGACAUUUGUGAGUGUUUUCCCAGAGAGCAAGAUUUUCCUCAGACCAGCAAGACAAUCAGCCUCAAACAUUUACCUUUGUGCUGUGUAAGAGGGUCCCUUGAUCAUGAAGAUGCGGAGUUGGGGUUCACCAGCAUGUCUUGCUGAAUGCUGAAAACAAAUAAAACAUGAUAUUAAAAAAAUACACAUUAACUAUUUAACUGGCUUGCUUUUAUUCCUUCUAUUUCAUUCAAGAAACAUUUACUAAUUUCCUACCACAAGCCGGCAUUGGAAAUAAAGAGAUGGCAUAAACAAAACACGCCUAAAGAAAAACCAACAAAUAUAGCCCAUUGUAAGGACUGAACAAGAAGUGAUCCACAAUACCUCUUAGGUAGGAGGGUGUGUGUGUGUAUUGGUGUCACUUCCUGAGAUACAUGUGGGUGCACACAGUCAUGUACAUUUCUACACAUACAAUGAAGCAUGGGAGAAUUUUUAAAGAACUUUCCCAUAUUUGUAAUUUAUCUGACUCUCUAAAGGCUUGAGCUCUUGCCUUAAGAUCAGAGAAGAAGAGGGCACUGGAGAAAAUGUCAAGAGUCUUAAAAGUGUUCAUAGCCUUUAAUCUGCAAUUCUCCUUCAGGAGUCCUUCUCUAGGAAA